rnacentral:tRNA from 1 species
GCCUGGGUGGCUCAAUCAGUUGAGCGUCUGACUUGGGCUCAGGGCACGAUCUCACGGCUCGUGGGUUCGAGCCCGGCAUCGGGCU